UACGUAGGUGACAAGCGUUGUCCGGAUUUACUGGGCGUAAAGAGCGCGCAGGCGGUCGAUCAAGUCGAGUGUGAAAGCCCCCGGCUCAACUGGGGAGGGUCAUUCGAUACUGAUCGACUCGAAGGCAGGAGAGGGUAGUGGAAUUCCCGGUGUAGUGGUGAAAUGCGUAGAUAUCGGGAGGAACACCGGUGGCGAAGGCGGCGACCUGGGUCGACACUGACGCUGAGGCGCGAAAGCGUGGGGAGCAAACAGG
rnacentral:rRNA from 1 species